rnacentral:rRNA from 1 species
CAAAUUCAAACAAUGUGCCAAUACAUUCAGCUGCCUUUUAGUCAAGUGGACAGGACUAAAUGACAUGGCUCUAAAUGACCUGGCUUACACCUCUCUUUUUUUGGUCACGGAAAAGGGGAGCGUUCAGCGUUGGGUCGCAGGAAAAAAGGAAAAGAAGGCUGUCGAUCCCAAUCGCAGCGGCGGCGGGAGGGGACACGAGCACGGGAGAGGAGAGGGCGGGGCUCGAGGUGACGGAGGUCGGAUGCGAGCGCGAGGCAGGGAAGGAGGAGCAACCACGAGUUAGCCUGCUCGCACUCGACGCCGUUUGACGUCGCCUCCCUUUGCACCUACUCCUCUAGUUCGGUUCGGCCUCCCCUGUCGACCACGUGCUCGAGCGUGACGGGACCGCGGCUAGAGCGCGGCCAGGAUGCGGGACGGUGGGAGAGAGCCCUGCGGUACCUCUAGUUGUUCCACGCGGGGGUGAGGGGAGGGAGACAGCCCCAUACCAUCCAAGCAUGACUGGCGGAGGCCGAGCUCGUUCCUAGACGACGUGGAGGCCGGGGAAAACGGACGUCUGACUCCUCUUCUCUUGUGUACAUCUAUCAAGUAGUUUCAAGGAAUUGACGCCGACUAGAAGAAGCAGUCCACUAACAUGACGUCUAGAUCAUGUAUCUCGAAAAAAGAAGAAGAGAUUCUAUGUCAUAUGACGAUUAAAACUACCAAACAACUUAAUAGAAGAACAUUAUAUACUCGCGGGCGUUACCGGUGGAGCCGUGUUCCUUGUGUCCAACGUCUCUAUCUGCACGCCCGACGUCUCUCCCGGCGGGUGCUGUACCAGCGAUGGCAAGCAGGUAGCGUGCCGUUGCCGUCCAGCUGGGGUGGUAGAGACGGGGAAAAACUACCGCCGAGACCUCCUGGCUCCUUAACUCCAACGGGGAAAGCAGACAAGUGUAGGAGACAAUCAAAAUCUAAAACUUCUAAAUACGCUACCUUAGUACUAUACAUUGUACAGAAGAGGACUUCUCCAGGCGAAUAAUGAGCUACUGUGACAACGGCCUUUGUGCCGGUUCCAUCGACACGAGGAGUACUACCUCGUCGCGGACCCUGUAAAAGAACCCUCCAACUUCGGCCUUUCCCUCCUCCUCCUUCUACCGUCGGCGGGGCGGCGGGUUCCGGCUGCUCGACGUCGCCGUAGGCGAGUUCCUCGUCGACGGGUCGCACAGAAAGACGUAGUGGUCGAGUGGCGGUACCGCAUGGCACGAGACGAAGUGGGGCGGAGUCCCCGGAGAACUAAACGAGAAACUUUCAAAGGGAGAAUGUAAGGCACGAACAGGAAGUGACAGGAGUCAAAAACGAGCAUGAACAACAAAGUACAGGUCCGAAAGAAAGGGUGACGUAGUACACACGACUAAUGACUGGAUAAAAACAACAACAGCUACGUGUAGUCAGAAGUAUAAAAGUCAUCUCUUUCAAAAAACAACCUUUGUUUAAGAAAACGACCAAGUAACUAGAACUUAAAUAAAUAUUACUUUUCCGGAAAGUCGACGUGUACGAAAAUACGUUAACUAUCAUACAUGAUGAGUAUAAUUAGUUUAUCAUAUAUUCAACUACAUGAGUAUAAUUAGUUUAUCAUAUAUUCAACUACAAGGAGAACACGAACAUUCCUAAAGUUGUAAAGUAUCAGUACAACCUGUGGUCGUAGUAGUAUGGUUGCUACGAACAAGGAGUUUACCCUCCACCUUUACUCCUCUUUCGAGCCCAUUAGAUCUGCGAGGACAAGCAGCAGCCGUAUUUGUGGAAUGACGUUUGGAAGAACCCCAGAGCAGAGGUGCAGCACUACCCACCGAGGUUGUGAAAGUAACACGGUUGGUAGAGGUAGUAGAACCGGCCUACGACUCCGUUACUCCGUCUAGGAGUGCUCUUUUAAGGAUGCCUGCUACUCCCCCUGUGUUUCGCGAGAGUAUUAGCGCUACUACUAAGUUUAGUAGGUACCAAAGUCACCAGAGACCGCGUUACAACAGGGGGUAAUAGACGCCCAGGAGAACAAAGUGAGUAACCUAAACCCGAAAUACUUGAACCGAAAGGUCCGAAAGUGGUGGCAACUCAAAGUACACUUGUUAGACAAAACUAUAAAAAUAUAUUGUUAUAGUACGGAGUAAAAGGUAAACUAAAUCAAUAAAGUUGAAGUUGAAACUCACAUAAUCAAUACGUGACUUAUCUUUCAUAUAAUGGAAUAGACUCAACAACGACGGUGACUCCACAAUUUUCACGUAUAAGUAUCGUAGAAGGAACCGUGCUAAUUAACGGUGGCCAAAUGUAAGCAUAGAAAGUUGUAAAUCAAGUCCUCGAAGUACUUAAAAGGCACAGGACUUUAGUAUAUAUAAAAAAUUGUACUUAAAACAGAGGUGUUUCUUGUCACACCAUUCGAGAUAUUGUCAGUAAGUCUGUAGUUUAAUACUUGAGAGUAUAAACUAACGAACCUUUUGUCAAGUUUCGUAUCGGUCCUUUACGACCGCUGGCCUUAUAACACUAUGAUACCUACGAUAGUUCGUACGAAAACCCCGGAACGGCGUCUAGUAGACGUUCUUCCCGAGUCAAGUUCUUGAUUAAUUCCAAUUCGAAGUGGUUACUAAACUUCCUACGCGUACUGGUGCCGAUCCUUGGAGGUCUCAUGUAGUAGACGCCACUCGUAUCUCGAAUAGGCGUACUGGUGCCGAUCCUUGGAGGUUUGAUUAAAUUUUUGGGUUACUAGUCGGAGCCCACCGAUGUCUACGACGUCGGCCAAGUUGGAUACCGGUAGUAUUUCUUGUCCUUCCUGAACAUGUGUGGCGGCUGACUUACAUCACCUUUCUCGUACAGGACGUCCUCUACCUGUCGUUCCGGCGACUGUUCCAGAGACUUGCUGCGCGAUCGCCAUCACCGCCGCCGCUGGUUCCGGCAACCGCUCUUCUAGCGCUACCUCCUCUUCAAAAUCUUGACCUUCUACCUCUAACAAUCCUCCUUCGUGUUGGUGUAGAACAGGGACAAGUUGGAUGUGUUCCACAACCACCUCUUCGUCCCUUCGGCGAACGACUCUUCUGGUGCGUUGUCUUCUGGGGGUGGUGGCGGCCACGGUAGAGAUCGUGCUCGACUGGUGUAGCCCGCAAUCAACCUAGUAUCUUACAUAGUACAGUAGUCUAUGUAUUUCAUAUAGUAGUCAACGUACAUGUAAGUUCUCCGAGAGUAACAAACUUACGUCGACACGAUGUGUUUAACGAUUUUUGUUUAGUCUUUCACGCACACACGGAUGGACCGUGGCGUGUUGGUGGAGAGUCCGCCGCGCGGUGCCCGUGCGGGGUUGGUGAUCAAUGUGUGUUAGACCACGGUAACCAUCCGUUUCGGCAGAGUGCAAAUCCUGGUUUAUAACGUUGUAUUCAGCUCCAUAUACACUCUAACCACUGAGAUUCCACCUCUAAUGACAACGAACCAGGGUCGAAUAGUUCUUGUUCUACCUUUAGGAGAUUCCUGUACAAACUAACAAGAACACCGAUACCUCAUCUAGGCCGAACUAGGGAUGAGGUAGAAGCUGGCCAUGAAGGCGCUCUUCCUGCUGUUCCCGCAACCCUUCACGUUCCCGUCGGCACCUAUUAGAAGUGGUGGUAUCGGUUUGUACGGUUUAAAACUAUCAGGCUACCGUACAAUAUCAUCGACCUGCUACAUUGUAGCAAAUGCAUCAACGUACCCAAACGUACUUAAACUCUAUACGAUUAACUCCACGG